CCUACGGGAGGCAGCAGUGAGGAAUAUUGGUCAAUGGCCGAAAGGCUGAACCAGCCAAGUAGCGUGAAGGAUGAAGGCUCUAUGGUUUGUAAACUUCUUUUAUAGGGGAAUAAAGGUAUCCACGUGUGGCUAUUUGCAUGUACUCUAUGAAUAAGCAUCGGCUAACUCCGUGCCAGCAGCCGCGGUAAUACGGAGGAUGCGAGCGUUAUCCGGAUUUAUUGGGUUUAAAGGGUGCGUAGGUUGUUUUUUAAGUCAGCGGUGAAAGUUUGUGGCUCAACCAUAAAAUUGCAGUUGAUACUGGAAGUCUUGAGUGUGUUUGAGGUAAGCGGAAUGCGUGGUGUAGCGGUGAAAUGCUUAGAUAUCACGAAGAACUCCGAUUGCGAAGGCAGCUUACUAAGCCAUGACUGACACUGAUGCACGAAAGUGUGGGGAUCAAACAGGAUUAGAUACCCGGGUAGUC
rnacentral:rRNA from 1 species